UGGGGAAUAUUGCACAAUGGGCGAAAGCCUGAUGCAGCGACGCCGCGUGAGGGAUGACGGCCUUCGGGUUGUAAACCUCUUUCAGCAGGGACGAAGCGAAAGUGACGGUACCUGCAGAAGAAGCACCGGCCAACUACGUGCCAGCAGCCGCGGUAAUACGUAGGGUGCAAGCGUUGUCCGGAAUUAUUGGGCGUAAAGAGCUCGUAGGCGGCUUGUCGCGUCGGCUGUGAAAACCUGGGGCUCAACCCCGGGCUUGCAGCCGAUACGGGCAAGCUAGAAUUCGGUAGGGGAGACUGGAAUUCCUGGUGUAGCGGUGAAAUGCGCAGAUAUCAGGAGGAACACCGGUGGCGAAGGCGGGUCUCUGGGCCGAUAUUGACGCUGAGGAGCGAAAGCGUGGGGAGCGAACAGGAUUAGAUACCCCGGUAGUCC
rnacentral:rRNA from 1 species